UACACAUGCAGUCGAACGGUAACAGGUCUUCGGACGCUGACGAGUGGCGAACGGGUGAGUAAUACAUCGGAACGUGCCCAGUCGUGGGGGAUAACUACUCGAAAGAGUAGCUAAUACCGCAUACGAUCUGAGGAUGAAAGCGGGGGACCUUCGGGCCUCGCGCGAUUGGAGCGGCCGAUGGCAGAUUAGGUAGUUGGGGGGAUAAAAGCUUACCAAGCCAAAUAUCUGUAGCUGGUCUGAGAGGACGACCAGCCACACUGGGACUGAGACACGGCCCAAACUCCUACGGGAGGCAGUAUGGGGGAAUUUUGGACAAGGGGCGAAACCUUGAUCCCCAAUGCCGCGGGCAAAUAAAGGCCUUCCGUUUUAAACUGCUUUUUUCCACUAAUUAUUUCCCCUAUUCCAAAGGCCCAUGACGGUCCGU
rnacentral:rRNA from 1 species